rnacentral:rRNA from 1 species
GAUGAACGCUGGCGGCGUGCCUAAUACAUGCAAGUCGAGCGAACGGACGAGAAGCUUGCUUCUCUGAUGUUAGCGGCGGACGGGUGAGUAACACGUGGAUAACCUACCUAUAAGACUGGGAUAACUUCGGGAAACCGGAGCUAAUACCGGAUAAUAUUUUGAACCGCAUGGUUCAAAAGUGAAAGACGGUCUUGCUGUCACUUAUAGAUGGAUCCGCGCUGCAUUAGCUAGUUGGUAAGGUAACGGCUUACCAAGGCAACGAUGCAUAGCCGACCUGAGAGGGUGAUAGGCCACACGGGAACUGAGACACGGUCCAGACUACUACGGGAGGCAGCAGUAGGGAAUCUUCCGCAGUGGGCGAAAGCCUGACGGAGCAACGCCGCGUGAGUGAUGAAGGUCUUCGGAUCGUAAAACUCUGUUAUUAGGGAAGAACAUAUGUGUAAGUAACUGUGCACAUCUUGACGGUACCUAAUCAGAAAGCCACGGCUAACUACGUG